ACUGAACGCUGGCGGUAUGCUUAACACAUGCAAGUCGAACGAUGAGAAAGAGCUUGCUCUUUCGCUUAGUGGCGGACGGGUGCGUAACGCGUAGGAAUCUACCUAUUCGUGGGGGACAACUUAGGGAAACUUAAGCUAAUACCGCAUACGCUCUACGGGGGAAAGAGGGGGAUCGCAAGACCUUUUGCUAAUAGAUGAGCCAGCGUAGGAUUAGCUAGUUGGUGGGGUAAAAGCUCACCAAGGCGACGAUCCUUAACUGGUUUGAGAGAAUGAUCAGUCACACGGGAACUGAGACACGGUCAAGACUCAUACGGGAGGCAGCAGUGGGGAAUAUUGGACAAUGGGCGAAAGCCUGAUCCAGCAAUACCGCGUGUGUGAAGAAGGCCUUAGGGUUGUAAAGCACUUUCAAUUGGAAGGAAAACCUCGAAGCUAAUACCUUCGAGUUUGACAUUACCUUUAGAAGAAGCACCGGCUAACUCCGUGCCAGCCGCCGCGGUAA
rnacentral:rRNA from 1 species